UGAGGGUUGCCAGGGUAAUGACCAAUCAUCCCUGGAGAGAUGCCUGCUAGUAAGGACAACAUAGGCUUUCUCUUUUUUGGUAUUCUGCAGUAUGUAUUUGAGAGCUAUUCUAGCAUCAAGAUUGCAGAACUUCUGUUUAGUUAGCAGAGAGGGAAAGUUUACACAGUAUGAAAUAACAGCUUACAACUACUGAGGGGCUUGGAUGGCUCCAAGGAGCUGGGAAUUGCUCACAGAGGCUUUUUGUUCAUGGCCUGUUGCCCAGUCCAACCCAGCCCAGGCCACGAGUGACCAGGAGCUGUUUCCGUGUCAGCCCAGCCUAAUGGAUGAUGUGAGCUGUGCCUCAGUCCAAUUUCAGCAGCAGGAGCAUCACAAAAGCCAGCACUGCCCUUGUCCCCAAGUGACUCUCUUGCAAGCCAGGGCUGUUUUGGGGCAGGGGAGAGCCAAGGCUCUGGGGGACCAGCUGCCUCCUGCCUCACAUCCUUCCCUGCACUCGGAGGGGGAACUCCAGCCUGCGGAGCUGUCAGGCUGAUGCUUUCCCCAGCACUGGAAUGACACGCAGUGAAAACAGGCUGGCAACAGGAACAGAAAUCAGGAGCAUCUUGGGUUAGGAGCACGGAUAUCUUCUGGUAAAAGAUACACAGAAGAGUAUGAAUGGUUUCAUUCAGAGUUUUGCACCAAUGCCCUCUGUGUAUGAGGAAAAUCAUUAGGAUGCCAUUAGCUCUCAUGCGUUAAAAUGGAAAAUACUUCUUUAUUGUAAUCUCUAAUUUCAUUUUACAAUGUUUUUACUAUUUCUUUUUUGCAGUUUGCUUACUUAGACUCUCAGACUGGUCAUUUUCGCUCUGCUUAAAUUUAAUUUCACUCCUUUGCUUGCUCUCUUGUUCUUCCAUCUGAAAAGCUUUCAUGUUGGGUAACUUGCUCAGCAGCAAGGAUAGAGGGAAACAGGUGGGCAGGCAAUCUGAAUUCUGAUUUUGGCUCUGCCACUGGCUGCUUGGCAAGCUGUUUACACCACUCUGUGCCUUACUUUCCCAGAGAAAGAGAUUCAUAGUUUAAGAACAGUUCAAAAUCUUUGACAAAAAAGAACCGUGCAACUACUUAGUGCUAUUUCCUGAAGGAAAACACAUGUAAAAUCAGGUAUUUUAUUCCAUGUGCUCCUUAAAAUGUCUAUCAGUUAAACCCAGUAAGCCUCUGUUCUUCAUUUUCCUUUACUGAAUUAGUUCUAAAUGUUGAGUCAUCAUCAUUGAUGCCCACAUCCAAACCACCACAGACAUCUUAGCCUUCAAACUGCAAAAAAUCCCAAAUGUUCUGGAUUCUUCAGCCCAUUUAACAUGUGUGGUAUGUAAGUAGCAAAUCCAUGUAACUACUGAGACAUGGCUACAGUACAGAUCUGCACUGGCACUGCAGAAGGUAUGGAUUGCUCUCUCCUUAAGCUUUAAUGUUCUCUCUAUUCCCUCCCUCUCCAGUUUAAUUUGGAUAAAGUGUUCACCAGCAGGACACAGUAGUUUGUUAAGGGCACAGUUGUUACAUAACUUUAUAUUACUUACAGCCCUAUAAAAGUGUUGCAGAUAACACCAGAGACAGUGUUGUUCCUCUACCUUGUUCCUCCAUGGUGCCAUUUCCAGUACUAUUGAUUCACAAUGGAACCCCUUUUCCCUCAGGAAUGGCUGGGGUCAGAGCAAUACCGUCGAUGCUGAUGGAGGUGAAGAGCCAGCAGCAGCAUUAUGCUGAAAAGCUUCCUAAAAAUGGCCUCUAUCUCCUUGCUGACCUGGAAACCCAGCUUCUUGUAUCAGAUGUCCUCAUUCAUGACCAUAAAACCCCUUUGGGUACCAAAAGUUUUGUAAUUUAAAUGGCAAAACUUCAAAACUGCAAGCUUGAGUACCACUGCUGACAGCUUGGUGUAAGCUCAGCCUCAAAGUCCAGGGGAAGAUGAAAUACAUCUGUAAUUAUUCUGAAUUCAGCACUUGACUGCAGUGAGUAUUUCUUGCUGCACAGCAACCGAGGGUCAGCUUGGAUUCCAAAAGUGAAUUUGCCGUUUUUAUUGAAAUGCAACUGCAACACACAGAGUUAAAUUCUUGUUUCAUUUUACUGAUCUUCACUGAAGCAUUUUCCAGUGGCACCUGGGAGCUUGGUGUUCUGCAGCCUGCAGGAAGCUGCCAGGAACUGUGCUCAAGGGGACCGUGUUGAGGUUAUGUGCAGCAGGGCUUCAGAUGUGAAUGUGCUUGUGGGUGGCACUGUGUGAAUACACGUACUGAAAAAUAUUACACCUGCGAUUUCCUAAGAUUGGGUAGCAGUGGAAUGCGAGAAUCUUUCAUUAAAAAUGUGAAAAGCA